UACGGAGGGUGCAAGCGUUAUCCGGAUUCACUGGGUUUAAAGGGUGCGUAGGCGGGCAGGUAAGUCAGUGGUGAAAUCCUAGAGCUUAACUCUAGAACUGCCAUUGAUACUAUCUGUCUUGAAUAUUGUGGAGGUAAGCGGAAUAUGUCAUGUAGCGGUGAAAUGCUUAGAUAUGACAUAGAACACCUAUUGCGAAGGCAGCUUACUACGCAUAUAUUGACGCUGAGGCAACGAAAAGCGUGGGGGAUCAAACAGG
rnacentral:rRNA from 1 species